AGAUCGUGCCAUUGCACUCCAGCCUGGGUGAAAAGACCUAAACUCCUUCUCAAAAAAUAAAAAUGAAAUAAAAAAAUAAAAUUUAGAUAUAAUUCACAUACCAUAAAAUUCACCCUUUUAAGGUAUACAAUUUAUUGGUUUUCAGGAUAUUCAUAGUGUUGCACAAUCACCACUAAUUCCAAAGCAUCUUCACCACCCCAAUAAAGAAACCCUAGACCCAUUAACAGUCAUUCCCAAUUCCUUCCUUCUCCCAGCCUCUGAAAACCACUAAUAUACUUUCCGUCUAUAUAAUUUUGCCUAUUCUAGACAUUUCAUAUACAUGGAAUCAUACAGUAUGUAGCCUUUUGUGACUAACAUCUUUCACUCAGCAUAAUGUUUUGGAGGUUCAUUCAUGUUGUAGCAUGUAUCAGUACUUUAUUCUUUUCGUACUGAAUCAUACUCUGUUUUAUAGAUAAUACCACAUUUUGUUUAUUCAUUCAUCAGUUGAUGGACAUUUAGAUUUCUUUUGGUUUUUGACUGUUAUGAACAACGCAAUUGUGAACAUUCAUUUACAAUGUAUAUUUUUGUGUGGAUGUAUGUCUUUAGUUCUCAUGGGUAUAUACAUAGGAGUGGAAUCAGUGAGUUAAUAGGAUAUUUCUGUUUAAUUAGGAGGUAAUGACAACUUUAAAACCUGAUUGCAGUCAUUUAAUAGGAAAUUUAAUGUACUCAUAUUUAUUGUGAUUAUGAUUACUACUUUGUUUUGUGUUUUCUGUUUACUAGGCAUUUCUUUUUCUUGGGUUUAUUUCUCCCUUCCUUUUUAUUGGAGUAGUUGAGCUUCUGUAUGUGCCUACACUCUAUCUUCUGUGUGUCUCUAUUUAGUGAGGAAACUUGACUAUCCUAUUUUCACUUUUUAAAUCCUUAACAAAUUUAAACUUAAAUGUUUAUAUUAAUGUCUACAGUUGAUCCAAGUCUCCAUUCAAGCUGGGAAAGAACAUUAUCAUGCUUUCAAUCAUUCUUUUCUUAGCAUCUCCCUAAAGAAGUCAUCUGGAAUUUUAAUACUUAUUUAUCUUGUUUCUUUUACCUUUUUACAUUAUGCUUUAAUGAUUUUACAUCCUUGCCUAUCAAUUUUCUUGAUUUCUUUGGCUCAGCACUAUCUUUUAUAUAACACAUCUGUCUUUUUCCUAGAUUCAUUAUUAUUUUGUGGGAGUACUUCCUCAAGGAAUCUUUCAGACGGGCUUUAUGGCUGAUAAGUUUUCUGGGUACUUGCAUAUACAAAAAUGUAUUUGACCCUUAUUCUUGAAUUAUAGUUAGAAUACUCCAUUGUUUACUAGCCUCCAUUGCUCUCAUGAGAAUUUUGAUAUCACUCUGAUUCUCAAUCUUUUGAUUCUUCUAUCUAGAAACUCUUAGAACUCUGUAGCCUUCAAGUUCUAAUGUUUUUCUGCCUAGUAUUUAGGUAAUUGUCUUUUUUAUUCUAUCCUGCUUAGUACUUGGCGGAUAACUUUGCAUUUUCGAAGAUUUCUGACUUUAUCUCCGGGACAUUUUUAUCUGUAAUUUUCUCCUGAAUACUUUUAUUCAUCAAAUGUUGAAACUUCUAAAUCCAUCCACCAUGGUACUUAACUCUUCUAUUUUUGUUUCUUUUUGCUGUAUUUUUGGAGAGUCCUCAGUAAAAUCUUCCAUUUUUACUAACUCACAUUGCAGCUCGGUCAACACUGUUAACUGUGAAAUUAAACCUAAUGAUAUCAUGACAGUAUAUGUGCCUUGGAGCAAUGCCCUUUCUCUACAUAUGCUGUGUUAUAAUUUCCCCGUAAAUAAAUAAAUAUAGCAAUUUUAGGGUAUGUGCAUUCUUUGUGUAUUCAACAAAUCUAAAGCUAGAAACUCCUUGCAAAAUUUAAAAAUUCUGUGACUAUCAUGCCCCCUGUAGAUUAGUACCCAAAGACAUAGGUCUCUGCCCCCAAUUUCUUAAAGUCCUGAUUUCCUCAGACGUUAUCCUCCUUUGUUGCAUGUAUGUCUCUCCUUCAGAGUGCUGGUUUUCCUUAACUGUUUGGUGAUUUUUUUUUUUUUUUUUUUUUUUUUUUUUUUUGGUGUUUUACUCAUCUGUGUGUUUUGCAAUCCGUUUACCUACUUGAGUGUUGAAUAGCUUACUGCCGAUCAUUAUGAGGGAGGGACAGGACAAGCUGCUGAGGGGCAGGACUGCUGUUGCUUGUCUUCUGGUGUGGGUACUCUCUCCUUCCCUUCUGAGAGUCAGCAGCUACCUGUGACUUUGCAUUGCUCGGCAGCCCAUUAUGCAUCCUUGCUGCUUUAGCCUGUGAAUAUAUGCGUCUGUUGACUGCUGCUUAGCACAAACCGGGGAAUGGAGAAGGCCUGAUUGACCCAGCUGUUCCAGAUGCAACUCACCGAUUAAUCAUCCUGAUGUGUGUCCCCCCAGCCUUCAGCUGUCUAUGUUCACUGGCUCUGGCUUGAAAGUCUUCCUUAACCACUCCUAUUUUUGCAGAUGUCUUAUCAUACAUCUGGCGUAGACUUCCUUCAGUUACUACCUCCCUGCCCCACCAUUCAACCUUCCACCCUCAUAAAUAUAAUCUCAUCUGACUCUAGGAGAUUGCUGAUAGGCUUUCCUUAUUAUCUCAUGCAUUCAUGAUUUAUAUUUGUUAACUGUAAAUGUCAUUUCCUCAGAAAGUUUUUUUCUAACCACCAAGUUUAAAGUAACGUCUCACUUUCUAUCACAUCACCCCAGUUUAUUUUCAUUGUAACAUUCAUCUCUAUUUAAUAUUUAUGGUCUUUUGUCUUUCCAGACCUAAAUGCAUGCUCCUUUAGGAGCCUUAUAUGGUCUAUUUACAGCUAUAUCAUAAGUGGUUAGAACAGUGCCUGGUGUACAGUAGACAUUUCAAUAUAUGAUAGUUGAAUUAAGUGACUUUAUCUUUUAAAAAAAAUUAUGUAUCACAUUUGCUUGAAUUACUAAAUUUUAGAUUUUAUACCAGAAACCAGGCUUUUCAAAUAUUCUAUCUUAACAUCUCUGUUCAAG